GAUGAACGCUGGCGGCGUGCUUAACACAUGCAAGUCGAACGGGGCACCCCCAAAGGAGUUUUCGGACAACUGCGGGGAAUGCUUAGUGGCGGACGGGUGAGUAACGCGUGAGCAACCUGCCUUGGAGUGGGGAAUAACAGGUGGAAACAUCUGCUAAUACCGCAUAAUAUGUCUGUGUCGCAUGGCACUGGGCAUCAAAGAUUUAUCGCUCUGAGAUGGACUCGCGUCUGAUUAGCUUGUUGGCGGGGUAACGGCCCACCAAGGCGACGAUCAGUAGCCGGACUGAGAGGUUGGCCGGCCACAUUGGGACUGAGACACGGCCCAG
rnacentral:rRNA from 1 species